GACGAACGCUGGCGGCGUGCCUAAUACAUGCAAGUUGAGCGCUGAAGGUUGGUACUUGUACCAACUGGAUGAGCAGCGAACGGGUGAGUAACGCGUGGGGAAUCUGCCUUUGAGCGGGGGACAACAUUUGGAGACGAAUGCUAAUACCGCAUAAAAACUUUAAACACAAGUUUUAAGUUUGAAAGAUGCAAUUGCAUCACUCAAAGAUGAUCCCGCGUUGUAUUAGCUAGUUGGUGAGGUAAAGGCUCACCAAGGCGAUGAUACAUAGCCGACCUGAGAGGGUGAUCGGCCACAUUGGGACUGAGGCACGGCCCAAACUCCUACGGGAGGCAGCAGUAGGGAAUCUUCGGCAAUGGACGAAAGUCUGACCGAGCAACGCCGCGUGAGUGAAGAAGGUUUUCGGAUCGUAAAACUCUGUUGGUAGAGAAGAACGUUGGUGAGAGUGGAAAGCUCAUCAAGUGACGGUAACUACCCAGAAAGGGACGGCUAACUACGUG
rnacentral:rRNA from 1 species